AAGGGGCAGGAGGGGAGGGGCUCUUGUUAUGAAGAUGUCUGUCCUUCCAAACAACCACUACGUAUAUUGAGGCCCUGCUUCCCA